rnacentral:lncRNA from 1 species
CGGAAAAGGCCGCAAGUUGCUUACUCCGAGUAGCUGUGCUAGCUCUGUCAGACUGUAGGAUCAUGUCUGCAACUUUUAGAAAUAGUGCUUUAUAUUGCAGCAGUCUUUUAUAUUUGACUUUUUUUUUAAUAGCAUUAAAAUUGCAGAUCAGCUCACUCUGAAACUUUAAGGGUACCAGAUAUUUUCUAUACUGCAGGAUUUCUAAUGACAUUGAAAGACUUUUAAACAGCCUUAGUAAAUUAUCUUUCUAAUGCUCUGUGAGGCCAAACAUUUAUGUUCAGAUUGAAAUUUAAAUUAAUAUCAUUCAAAAGGAAACAAAAAAUGUUGAGUUUUAAAAAUCAGGAUUGACUUUUUUCUCCAAAACCAUACAUUUAUAGGCAAAUUGUGUUCUUUAUCACUUCUGAGCAAAUACUCAGAUUUAAAAUUACUUUAAAGUCCUGGUACUUAACAGGCUAACGUAGAUAAACACCUUAAUAAUCUCAGUUAAUACUGUAUUUCAAAACACAUUUAACUGUUUUCUAAUGCUUUGCAUUAUCAGUUACAACCUAGAGAGAUUUUGAGCCUCAUAUUUCUUUGAUACUUGAAAUAGAGGGAGCUAGAACACUUAAUGUUUAAUCUGUUAAACCUGCUGCAAGAGCCAUAACUUUGAGGCAUUUUCUAAAUGAACUGUGGGGAUCCAGGAUUUGUAAUUUCUUGAUCUAAACUUUAUGCUGCAUAAAUCACUUAUCGGAAAUGCACAUUUCAUAGUGUGAAGCACUCAUUUCUAAACCUUAUUAUCUAAGGUAAUAUAUGCACCUUUCAGAAAUUUGUGUUCGAGUAAGUAAAGCAUAUUAGAAUAAUUAUGGGUUGACAGAUUUUUAAAAUAGAAUUUAGAGUAUUUGUGUGGGGUUUUGUUUGUUUACAAAUAAUCAGACUAUAAUAUUUAAACAUGCAAAAUAACUGAGAAUAAUGUUGCACUUGUUUACUAAAGAUAUAAGUUGUUCCAUGGGUGUACACGUAGACAGACACACAUACACCCAAAUUAUUGCAUUAAGAAUCCUGGAGCAGACCAUAGCUGAAGCUGUUAUUUUCAGUCAGGAAGACUACCUGUCAUGAAGGUAUACAAUAAUUUAGAAGUGAAUGUUUUUCUGUACCAUCUAUGUGCAAUUAUACUCUAAAUUCCACUACACUACAUUAAAGUAAAUGGACAUUCCAGAAUAUAGAUGUGAUUAUAGUCUUAAACUAAUUAUUAAACCAAUGAUUGCUGAAAAUCAGUGAUGCAUUUGUUAUAGAGUAUAACUCAUCGUUUACAGUAUGUUUUAGUUGGCAGUAUCAUACCUAGAUGGUGAAUAACAUAUUCCCAGUAAAUUUAUAUAGCAGUGAAGAAUUACAUGCCUUCUGGUGGACAUUUUAUAAGUGCAUUUUAUAUCACAAUAAAAUUUUUUCUCUUUACAAAAAAA